UGGGGAAUAUUGGACAAUGGGCGCAAGCCUGAUCCAGCCAUGCCGCGUGUGUGAAGAAGGCCUUUUGGUUGUGAAGCACUUUAAGCGAGGAGGAGGCUACUUGGAUUAAUACUCUAGGAUAGUGGACGUUACUCGCAGAAUAAGCACCGGCUAACUCUGUGCCAGCAGCCGCGGGAAUACAGAGGGUGCGAGCGUUAAUCGGAUUUACUGGGCGUAAAGCGUGCGUAGGCGGCUUCUUAAGUCGGAUGUGAAAUCCCUGAGCUUAACUUAGGAAUUGCAUUCGAUACUGGGAAGCUAGAGUAUGGGAGAGGAUGGUAGAAUUCCAGGUGUAGCGGUGAAAUGCGUAGAGAUCUGGAGGAAUACCGAUGGCGAAGGCAGCCAUCUGGCCUAAUACUGACGCUGAGGUACGAAAGCAUGGGGAGCAAACAGG
rnacentral:rRNA from 1 species